GCCGGGCGUGGUGGCGGGCGCCUGUAGUCCCAACUACUCGGAGGCUGAGGCAGGAGAAUGGCCUGAGCCCAGGAGGUGGAGCUUGCAGUGAGCCGAGAUCGCACCACUGCACUCCAGCCUGGGCAACAAAGCGAGACCCCGUCUCAA
ensembl:misc_RNA Metazoa_SRP Metazoan signal recognition particle RNA